rnacentral:rRNA from 1 species
UGGGGAAUCUUGGACAAUGGGGGCAACCCUGAUCCAGCAAUGCCGCGUGUGGGAUGAAGGCCUUCGGGUUGUAAACCACUUUUGGCGGGGGCGAAAUAUCGAGUGCUAAUACCAUUCGGUGAUGACGGUACCCGCAGAAUAAGCACCGGCUAACUACGUGCCAGCAGCCGCGGUAAUACGUAGGGUGCAAGCGUUAAUCGGAAUUACUGGGCGUAAAGCGUGCGCAGGCGGUUAGGUAAGACAGGUGUGAAAUUCCCGGGCUCAACCUGGGAACUGCAUUUGUGACUGCCUGACUAGAGUGCGGCAGAGGGGAGUGGAAUUCCGCGUGUAGCAGUGAAAUGCGUAGAUAUGCGGAGGAACACCGAUGGCGAAGGCAACUCCCUGGGCCUGCACUGACGCUCAUGCACGAAAAGCGUGGGGAGCAAAACAGGAUUAGAUACCCUGGUAGUCCACGCCCUAAAACGAUGUCGACUAGUUGUUGGACGGGUUACUGUUCAGUAACGAAGCUAACGCGUGAAGUCGACCGCCUGGGGAGUACGGCCGCAAGGUUAAAAC